AAUAUAAUUACUGGGUCAUAUGGUAACUAUAUAUUUAACAUUUUGAGGAAUUGCCAGAUAGUUUUCCAUUGUGGCUGGGCCAGUUUAUAUUCCCAGGGGGAAU
rnacentral:pre_miRNA from 1 species